GCCAUCUUCGAUCUAGCUAGGUCUCGAUGGACGAUCGAUAACCGACGUGGACCGAUAUGCAGGGGCUUAGUUACUCCCUCCGUCCAACGAUACGGGCCAUAUUAGGGUUCGGUUUGACCAACCUUUGACCACAAAUUAGGGACGAGACAAGCUUCUACUCCCUCGGCAUAACCAUAACGGCCGGCGACGUCCCAGCAGCCUCCCCUUAACCAAGAUCCCGAUCCAAGUCGAGCCGCGGCUGCGGCCACCGUUCCCGUGCGUCUCCAAAGGAGGAAACCUCUGCUUCGCUAACGUAAGACCUCCAGCUCUGGACGAAGCGAGACGGAUCACAAGGAUCAGGCCAGAGGCAGAGGGGAAACGUUAACGACCGAUGGCGAUUCUCGGGUUCGCGGAGAGCAGAGGUGCGUUGCUCGUCCAGCAUGGCCACCUGUUCGUCCUGGACCUGGAGAGCAAGGAGAUGGAGCCGGUGGCAGGGCAUGGUGGCUUUGGGGUGCCGAGGGUACCACGGCUGCGAUCAGUGAAUUGAGGCCACCAAUCCAGAAGAUAGCUGUAGCUGGACGAAGAAGAAGAAGAAGAAGAUUGAUGUAGUACGAGUAUUGUGGUUUCAAUUCAUGUUUCUUUUCAAUUGAUUAUAUGCAGAAAAGAUCGUCCCUCUAUAUUAGUGUACUGAUCUGAAAAGAAAAUGUAGUAUAUACGGUACUUCCGUCCUAAAAUAAGAUAAGGCGAUAUCAAUUUGGCUCUAUUUGUUUUAUUUACUGAUAUACUCUCUCCCUCCCUUUCUAAAUUCUUAUUUGAACUAAAACCACGGCAAAUUUAGGAACGGAGGCAGUACAAUUAAUUUACGUGACUCGGUGAAUCUUCUAUUCUCAAAUAUUUUCAGUGUAUACGCUGAAUUGCGCUAUCAUGCUUCC